rnacentral:rRNA from 1 species
GUUGAACGCUGGCGGCAGGCCUAACACAUGCAAGUCGAGCGCGAAAGCACUUCGGUGUGAGUAAAGCGGCGGACGGGUGAGUAACGCGUAGGAAUCUACCUAGUAGUGGGGGACAACUCCGGGGAAACUCGAGCUAAUACCGCAUACGCCCUAUCGGGGGAAAGAUGGCCUCUUCUUGAAAGCUAUCGCUAUUGGAGGAGCCUGCGUUGGAUUAGCUAGUUGGUGGGGUAAAGGCCUACCAAGGCGACGAUCUUUAGCUGGUCUGAGAGGAUGAUCAGCCACACUGGAACUGAGACACGGUCCAGACUCCUACGGGAGGCAGCAGUGGGGAAUAUUGGACAAUGGGCGCAAGCCUGAUCCAGCCAUGCCGCGUGUGUGAAGAAGGCUCUAGGGUUGUAAAGCUCUUUCGUCGGGGAAGAAAAUGACUGUACCCGAAUAAGAAGGUCCGGCUAACUUCGUG